rnacentral:misc_RNA from 1 species
GAUGAAGAACGCAGCGAAAUGCGAUAAGUAAUGUGAAUUGCAGAAUUCAGUGAAUCAUCGAAUCUUUGAACGCACAUUGCGCCCGCCAGUGUUCUGGCGGGCAUGCCUGUUCGAGCAUCAUUUCAACCAUCAAGCCCCCGGCUUGUGUUGGGGACCUGCGGCUGCCGCAGGCCCUGAAAAGCAGUGGCGGGCUCGCUGUCACACCGAGCGUAGUAGCAUACAUCUCGCUCUGGGCGUGCUGCGGGUUCCGGCCGUUAAACCACCUUCAUAACCCAAGGUUGACCUCGGAUCAGGUAGGAAGACCCGCUGAACUUAAGCAUAUCAAUAAGCGGAGGA